UGGAAGUCUAUUACCUGCUUCGGUGAUAUCAGUUUAUUGCGCAUAUGUGUGCUAUACUGGUCUCUCUAGUGAACCACGUGACUACGUGUGCAAUGGUCUCCAUACAAAAUCUAAAGCAGUCUCCGUUGGUACCCUUGUCCUUGGGAUGCUCACUACAAUCGUCUCCGUUAUUUAUUCUGCUCUUCGCGCUGGAUCUUCAACAACAUUUCUAUCUCCACCAUCUUCACCAAGAGCAGGUGGGAGUAAGCCUCUUCUUGAAUCAGAAGACUUGGAGGAUGGAAAGAACAAAAAAACUGAGGGAGAGGGACAGCCUGUCAGUUACUCCUAUACAUUCUUCCACUUGAUAUUUGCUCUUGCAAGCAUGUACUCAGCCAUGCUUCUUUCAGGCUGGACUAGCCUCAACGAGAGCUCGGACCUCAUAGACGUCGGCUGGACAUCAGUUUGGGUACGUAUCUGCACAGAGUGGGUCACUGCUGCUCUAUAUAUUUGGUCACUUGUCGCCCCUAUCCUUUUCCCCGAUCGUGAGUUCUUUUAGAUUUGUCAUAGCCUGAACAGAGCUCGGACCUCAUAGACAUUGGCUCGACAUCAGUUCGGACUCAUAUCUGCCCAGAGUGGGUCAUUGCUGGUCUAUAUAUUUG
rnacentral:misc_RNA from 1 species